UUAACGGUAGAAAUGGAUGAA
rnacentral:miRNA from 1 species